CUCAUGUGCGACAUAGAAAUUUCAGUGAAAAAAAUAGUGUUCCCAGCAGAAGUUUCACCUUGAGAGCAAUUUCUGUGCAUGAUUUUCACUUCGUGAAAGGACCUAUUAUUGAAUUGCAAAUUCCUCUUGCAACUUUGUCUCUCAACUGAGCAGAUAAGGGCAAAGGGUUUGGAAAUGCUAGUUCUUGUGGAAGUGUUAAACGGAACAAACCUAAAGCUGAAUGGUACCGUUUAGUGAGAGAACCCGCGACGGUUGGUUUUAGCGAUUAAAAUAAACACGGGAUCUAUGAAAGGAGAAAAUACAGCAAUCAAAAAACGGUAGAUAACUGGCUUAAGGACUUUCUUCUUUCCUAUAAUUCAACUGCUGACGAUGUAAACGAAAACAGUCUUCUUUGCAAGUGGCUGGGACAAACAAGUGGAAGUAUAAUAGGAAGAAGUAACAAAUCUCAUUGUUUUCAACGCAAAAAACCAGUCGUGAGGGAUAUUUGUACGAGCAAAAUUCAAUCAAACAGUCGUGGGAAUCAUCGUAACUUUUAAAUGCAUUAUCAGAAGAGUAGUUUAAAUAAAUUCUUUUGGAAAAUAAAAGAAAUCAGUCCUCUA